rnacentral:lncRNA from 13 species
GCUUUACAGCUGAGAGUGUGUAUAUUAUCUUCUCUUAUCUUUCAGAUUUUUAGUAUGGUUCCCAAGCUGUAAUUGGACCUUAGUAUGAAAUGGAGCCUGGCUGUGUUACAGACACAGACACACCAGCCAGGUGCUACUGCUCAGUAUCUGACCCUCAUCUCAUGCUGAACAGAGUUGAAAGAGAUUCACGCCCUAUUCCCACGGGACAGCCUCUAAGCAGCAGGGGAGCCGACCAGUGUGUAACUUUGCCAAGGAUUUUCAAGGCUGCCUGCUGCCAGGUGUCUUCCAGGCCUGCCUGCAGCCUGAGGCCAGUUCAGGGGUUCUUCCUCAGCAACCCUGGGUUGGCCAGACUGUCCUGGGCUAUCAUAUGCCCCUGUUCCACAAGGAAUCCCUCUACACAGCACCACCAGCAUUGCUAUAAAAUACCAGAUUCCACCUACUAACCAAGCAACUGAGUAAGGGCUGAUCCCCCUCCAGCAGGGUCUUCCUCACAGUUUACUGUAUGGGUCUCUUACCAAGAAUUUUCUAGUACAAAGUAGAUCCUAGAAAUUUCCAGUUUCCUCUUAUUUUCUUUAAUAAAGGAAAUACCAAAAAAUAUCAGUCUCUCCCUCUUCUGUUCACUGUGCUUUGGUGGUCAUGGGAAAGGCACACAUGCUACAGGCAAGCUGCAUUUUUCUUGCAAUGUAGAUUAAAAGUUCAGGCAGUGAAAUGUUAACCAUCAUCUCAAAAAUGGUUAGAAAGGGAUAAUUUUGGUUUCUCUUGGUAUACCUUCCAAUGUUUUGGCAGUCAUCCUUCCUUAAAAGCUAACCUUGGAAUUUAGGGCAAUAAUCAAGAUGACCUUUCAGUAAAGGGUAUGGAAAGUAUUAGCAUCUGAACUUCAGCCACAUAAAUACAUUGCUUUGCAUUUUUAAAGCUCACCUGUGAAUCUCCCAAGGCGGAAAUUUAAGAAACCCUUUCAUAAAUAUCACAGAUAAUUUUAAGUCAAACAUAAAGUGCUGUAGGUUCAAUCAAACAGCAAGUGAAGCAUAAGGACUCAGACUGGUUUUAUGUCACAGCAAUAAAUAAUAAAAAAUCCCAGUGUAAAAGGGAGAUGGCUUAUUUUUGAGGAUCUUG